AGUGAACGCUGGCGGUAGGCCUAACACAUGCAAGUCGAACGGCAGCACAGUAAGAGCUUGCUCUUACGGGUGGCGAGUGGCGGACGGGUGAGGAAUACAUCGGAAUCUACUUUUUCGUGGGGGAUAACGUAGGGAAACUUACGCUAAUACCGCAUACGACCUACGGGUGAAAGCAGGGGAUCUUCGGACCUUGCGCGAUCUAACGAGCCGUGGUCGGAUUAGCUAGUUGGCGGGGUAAAGGCCCACCAAGGCGACGAUCCGUAGCUGGGCUGAGAGGAGGAUCAGCCACACUGGGACUGAGACACGGUCCAGACUCCUACGGGAGGCAGCAGUGGGGAAUAUUGGACAAUGGGCGCAAGCCUGAUCCAGCCAUACCGCGUGGGUGAAGAAGGCCUUCGGGUUGUAAAGCCCUUUUGUUGGGAAAGAAAGGCAGCAGGUUAAUACCCCGCUGUUCUGACGGUACCCAAAGAAUAAGCACCGGCUAACUUCGUG
rnacentral:rRNA from 1 species